GACGAACGCUGGCGGCGUGCCUAAUACAUGCAAGUCGAGCGCAGGAAACUGACGGAACUCUUCGGAGGGAAGGCAGUGGAAUGAGCGGCGGACGGGUGAGUAACACGUAAGGAACCUGCCUCAAGGAUUGGGAUAACUCCGAGAAAUCGGAGCUAAUACCGGAUAGUUCAACGGACCGCAUGGUCCGCUGAUGAAAGGCGCUCCGGCGUCACCUUGAGAUGGCCUUGCGGUGCAUUAGCUAGUUGGUGGGGUAACGGCCCACCAAGGCGACGAUGCAUAGCCGACCUGAGAGGGUGAUCGGCCACACUGGGACUGAGACACGGCCCAGACCCCUACGGGAGGCAGCAGUAGGGAAUCUUCCACAAUGGACGAAGGUCUGAUGGAGCAACGCCGCGUGAGUGAUGAAGGUUUUCGGAUCGUAAAACUCUGUUGUAAGGGAAGAACACGUACGAGAGGAAAUGCUCGUACCUUGACGGUACCUUACGAGAAAGCCACGGCUAACUACGUGCCAGCCGCCGCAGUAAUAU
rnacentral:rRNA from 1 species